rnacentral:rRNA from 1 species
UUCGCAAUGCCCGAAAGGGUGACGAAGCGACGCCGCGUGCGGGAAGAAGGCCUUCGGGUUGUAAACCGCUGUCGGGAGUUAAGAAAUGUAAGGAUGUUAAUAGCAUCUUCGCUUGACUAAGGCUCCGGAGGAAGCCACGGCUAACUCUGUGCCAGCAGCCGCGGUAAUACAGAGGCGGCAAGCGUUGUUCGGAAUUAUUGGGCGUAAAGAGCACGUAGGCGGCUACGUAAGUCGGUUGUGAAAGCCUUCCGCUCAACGGGAGAACAGCAUCCGAUACUGCAUGGCUUGAGUGCGGGAGGGGAGAGUGGAACUUCUGGUGGAGCGGUGAAAUGCGUAGAUAUCAGAAGGAACGCCGGCGGCGAAAGCGGCUCUCUGGCCCAUAACUGACGCUGAGUGUGCGAAAGCUAGGGGAGCAAACGGGAUUAGAUACCCCGGUAGUCCUAGCCGUAAACGAUGGGCACUAAGUAGAGGGGUUUU